CCUACGGGUGGCUGCAGUGAGGAAUAUUGCGCAAUGGCCGAAAGGCUGACGCAGCGACGCCGCGUGAGGGAUGAAGUCCGUUAGGAUGUAAACCUCUUUUGCAGGGGAUGAAUGUCUCGCUAUACGCGGGAUUGACCGUACCCUGCGAAUAAGGAUCGGCUAACUACGUGCCAGCAGCCGCGGUAAUACGUAGGAUCCGAGGGUUGUCCGGAAUUACUGGGGGUAAAGGGCGUGUUGGUAGGUCGGUGGUGAAAUCCCGCAGCUUAACUGCGGAAUUGCCUUCGAUACUGGGGAUCUUGAGUACGGCAGAGGGAGAUGGAAUUCAUGGUGUAGCGGUGAAAUGUGUAGAUAUCAUGAAGAACACCGGUAGCGAAGGCGGUCUCCUGGUCCGUAACUGACACUGAUGCGCGAAAGCGUGGGGAGCGAACAGGAUUAGAUACCCUAGUAGUC
rnacentral:rRNA from 1 species